GUUUCCGUCGAAGACAUCCUUCCUUGAAGCCUUUCCACACAGCGACUAUAAUCAGCCGUGUGUAGUCCGUUUCCUACAACGGGCGACGUCACUGAGGUGCUGGAACGUCCUUGGAUGAACCAGCAGCUGAAUUUCACCCGAGAUUUGGUUCACAGAUUAGAUAGUGACGGUCAGUUCAAUUAUCCUUACACGAUAGCCGAGAACUGAUGAAGAUAUAAUCGGUCGAGCAUUGAUCAGGUGCCUGAGAAACGUUCCGUAGGUGAACCUGCGGAAGGAUCAUUA
rnacentral:rRNA from 1 species